AUCGUUGCGCAGAGGCGAAAUCGUAACCGAUGAGGUUUAUCCGAGGUGAGAUUAUUGCUAGUUGACUACAAAAACCAACGGCA